CUACGGGGGGCUGCAGUGGGGAAUAUUGCACAAUGGGCGCAAGCCUGAUGCAGCCAUGCCGCGUGUAUGAAGAAGGCCUUCGGGUUGUAAAGUACUUUUAGCGGGGAGGAAGGGAGUAAAGUUAAUACCUUUGCUCAUUGACGUUACCCGCAGAAGAAGCACCGGCUAACUCCGUGCCAGCAGCCGCGGUAAUACGGAGGGUGAAAGCGUUAAUCGGAAUUACUGGGCGUAAAGCGCACGCAGGCGGUUUGUUAAGUCAGAUGUGAAAUCCCCGGGCUCAACCUGGGAACUGCAUCUGAUACUGGCAAGCUUGAGUCUCGUAGAGGGGGGUAGAAUUCCAGGUGUAGCGGUGAAAUGCGUAGAGAUCUGGAGGAAUACCGGUGGCGAAGGCGGCCCCCUGGACGAAGACUGACGCUCAGGUGCGAAAGCGUGGGGAGCAAACAGGAUUAGAUACCCUUGUAGUC
rnacentral:rRNA from 1 species